rnacentral:lncRNA from 1 species
AACGCUCGAGUGUUACUGCCAACACACUCCCCGGCUAAAUCAUAAUCCACAUUCUACGGACAGCUAACUCAAGUGUCCAACAUUAUCGCGUCUCUCACUAGAUAUUACACGUUAGGCAACUCAGCCUACGUCUCGAAUACGCAAACACAAAUUCCCUCAACUUAAUUGAGGUACAACUCAACUAACUCGCCAAAACCAGGCGAUCAUCUAACCAACAAUUCACUCGCCAAAACUAGGCGAUCAUCUAGCCAUUCGACAACAACGACGCUAUUAACAUUACACAAUCCCUCGGAAUAUCAUCCGAAUUCUCGAACUCUAGAGCGUCUUCUGACGUUCUAAUUUAAUUCUCAUUACCACCCGAAUGGUUUAAA